rnacentral:tRNA from 1 species
UGCAGUGUGGCUCAGUGGUAGAGCGCUUGCCUAGUAUGUGCAAGACCCCUUGAGUUCAAUCCCCAGCACCACAA